UACGUAGGGCGCAAGCGUUGUCCGGAAUUAUUGGGCGUAAAGAGUUCGUAGGCGGCCUGUUACGUCUGCUGUGAAAUCCCGGGGCUUAACCCCGGGCGUGCAGUGGAUACGGGCAGGCUGGAGGCAGGCAGGGGAGAACGGAAUUCCUGGUGUAGCGGUGGAAUGCGCAGAUAUCAGGAGGAACACCGGUGGCGAAGGCGGGUCUCUGGGCCGUUACUGACGCUGAGGAGCGAAAGCGUGGGGAGCGAACAGG
rnacentral:rRNA from 1 species